GACGAACGCUGGCGGCGUGCUUAACACAUGCAAGUCGAACGGAAAGGCCCUGCUUUUGUGGGGUGCUCGAGUGGCGAACGGGUGAGUAACACUUGAGUAACCUGCCCUUGACUUUGGGUUAACUUCAGGAAACUGGGGCUAAUACCGGAUAGGAGCUCCUGCUGCAUGGUGGGGGUUGGAAAGUUUCGGCGGUUGGGGAUGGACUCGCGGCUUAUCAGCUUGUUGGUGGGGUAGUGGAUUACCAAGGCUUUGACGGGUAGCCGGCCUGAGAGGGUGACCGGCCACAUUGGGACUGAGAUACGGCACAGACUCAUACGGGAGGCAGCAGUGGGGAAUAGUGCACAAUGGGCGGAAGCCUGAUGCAGCAAAGCCGCGUGCGGGAUGAAGGCAUUCGGGUUGUAAACCGAUUUCGCCUGCGACGAAGCGUGAGUGACGGUAAUGGGUAAAGAAGCACCGGCUAACUACGUG
rnacentral:rRNA from 1 species